rnacentral:rRNA from 1 species
UACGUAGGGUGCGAGCGUUAAUCGGAAUUACUGGGCGUAAAGCGUGCGCAGGCGGUUUUGUAAGUCGGGUGUGAAAUCUCGGAGCUUAACUCCGAAACUGCAUUCGAUACUGCCGUGCUUGAGGACUGGAGAGGAGACUGGAAUUUACGGUGUAGCGGUGAAAUGCGUAGAUAUCGUAAGGAAGACCAGUGGCGAAGGCGGGUCUCUGGACAGUUCCUGACGCUGAGGCACGAAGGCCAGGGGAGCGAACGGG